GGCCAGCGAAAAAAAAGAGAAAGAACCCGCACCCCACGUUCUCCACCUCCUUCCCCGACGACCUGCCAGAUCUUAUAUACCCCCGAACACGAAGCACUCCGCACCCCCUCUGCGGCGACCAGUCCAGCGCCGCCCUCUCAACCGGAUGCCCGAAGGUCGCCGCGACCACCAGACGCCUCCCUCUACAGCAGACGGCCCUCUCUCUCCCCGACCACGCAGCUUUUUGAACUGGCUGGCGCAGGCUCUGUUCACAAGAAUUCCCAAGCGAUAUUACCAUCCAAGUUGGGGAGAGCAGCUUCCGCACAAGCUCCCACUGGCAUCUAAAUGCGGCUACAUAAGGAAGCUGGUGUCGGGGGCCAACGGGUCCAGGGUGACCCACCUCGAGAUCACAGGCAUGCCCGGCGACGCCAAGGCGUUUGACCUCGUCAUCAAGUUCUGCUACGGCAUCAACUUCGAGAUCACCACCGACACCAUCGCCAGGCUGCGCUGCGCCACCGAGCACCUGGAGAUGACCAAGGGAGUGCAAGCCCGGGAACCUCAUCGGUGGGACCGAGGCCUACCUGGAGGAGGUGGCACUGGUGAACCUCGAGGACCACGCUCUGCAGGGCCAGGACCGAGGAGCUCCUCCCGACGUCCGACAAGGUGCAGAUCAUUAGCAGGUGCAUCGAUGCCAUAGCGACCAUGACCUGCAGCGAUGGCAGUCAUGAGGGACUGGACAGUGCUACGGCAGCGUGGGCACGGCGCCCAAGCCCGUGGAUGACUGGUGGGCCAACGAGCUGGACGGUGGGAGUUUAAACCGCACUCUUUGACAUCACACACUCCCGGAUCUCCCACCGGCAACGCCCCGAGGUCAUUGACACAGGUGACCAAGUGAUUACAACGACGUCGAGGAGGUUGUGGGUGAGAGCUCCUGUUCUCCUAGGGGGAACAUGUUGGCGCGUUCGAGGAGUCCAAGAAGAAGGGAGGAGGCACUCCUUUGGGCUGCUCUAGGAAAUACACCAGACUGAGCGAGGUUAGAUUAAAGUUUCUUAAUUCUUCACUGGAAUUCUUUGGAGUUGGAAGAAGUGCACGCAUAUGAAAGAAGGUACUUCAAGCUGGAGGCACAUAUGAAGACUGGACAGAGAAGCAGUGAAGGAAGAUGAAGACCAUCAUCAAACUUUACCUAUUUGUGUUUCGGAUGGGACUUACAUGUGGAGAAAGACAUGAUGAUCGCCAAAAAUGGAGGGGAGUGGGAGAAAAACAUCAGAGUUUGUGAACAAAUUUUGAAAGAAAGACCAAUUGGUUCAAUACUUGGUCCGAAAACUUCAUUCUAUGACUUUCUAAAUAAAUGAUAUGGCAUUCAAUAAGCACUUAGAUUAUUUUUCACAUGUCUCUGGUUAAAUUCCAUUUGGUGGGCAAGCAU